GCGAGUUCGACUGAGGCCAAGCACAGAGGAGAGGAGGAGGAAGAAGCAGGCGAAGACGAAGAUACUGGGGCACAAGUGGCCCGGCCCGAUCGUCAAGCUUGAGGAAGUGGCCGUUUCUACCGGUGAAGAAGAUGAAGAAAUUCUCCUGGACUUGUACGAAAGCAAGCAAUCAGUGGAAAGAAAGAGGGGUACUGGGACUGUAAAAAUUCUCAAACAUAAAUGAAACUGGUAAAUUAAGUUAGGCUGAUCAAUGAUCAUGCGUCAAUCAAUCAAUCCAAGACUCUCAACAUCUGUGCUGUGCCAAUCAUUUCCUGCACCCUUGUAUUUUUCGCAUCUGUGCAACAACUUGCCGCUAAUGACAAAUCUUGCAUCUGUCAUGCUUCUGAUUUUGGAGAAGUUGACCGUAGAGGAAAAGAAGGAAACAAAAGAUGAACCACCACCACCAAAAUAGAAGACGUGAAAGAUAAGAAGUAGAAGAAAGAAGAAGAGAAAUAGGUGCUGCAUCUUCUUGGCCAUGUAUAAUGUUAGUUUGAUGAGAUCUGUCUCUGAUUUCAUUUUCAGUUUCAGGAGGUUAAAAAUGUGUUCUUGCACCUGGUUUUGUAUGUAAGAAGAAGAAGAAGGGUUUG